AUUGAACGCUGGCGGCAGGCCUAACACAUGCAAGUCGAACGAGUGGCGGACGGGUUAGUAAUGUCUGGGAAACUGCCUGAUGGAGGGGGAUAACUACUGGAAACGGUAGCUAAUACCGCAUACCAUCAGAUGUGCCCAGAUGGGCUUGGCUUGUGGUUGGGGUAACGGCUCACCUAGGCGACGAUCCCUAGCUGGUCUGAGAGGAUGACCAGCCACACUGGAACUGAGACACGGUCCAGACUCCUACGGGAGGCAGCAGGGGGGAAUAUUGCACAAUGGGCGCAAGCCUGAUGCAGCCAUGCCGGGUGUAUGAAGAAGGCCUUCGGGUUGUAAAGUACUUUCAGCGGGGAGGCGUUACCCGCAGAAGAAGCACCGGCUAACUCCGUGCCAGCCGCCGCGGUAAUAC
rnacentral:rRNA from 1 species